rnacentral:rRNA from 1 species
GUUAAGUCGACCGCCUGGGGAGUACGGCCGCAAGGUUAAAACUCAAAUGAAUUGACGGGGGCCCGCACAAGCGGUGGAGCAUGUGGUUUAAUUCGAUGCAACGCGAAGAACCUUACCUGGUCUUGACAUCCACGGAAGUUUUCAGAGAUGAGAAUGUGCCUUCGGGAACCGUGAGACAGGUGCUGCAUGGCUGUCGUCAGCUCGUGUUGUGAAAUGUUGGGUUAAGUCCCGCAACGAGCGCAACCCUUAUCCUUUGUUGCCAGCGGUCCGGCCGGGAACUCAAAGGAGACUGCCAGUGAUAAACUGGAGGAAGGUGGGGAUGACGUCAAGUCAUCAUGGCCCUUACGACCAGGGCUACACACGUGCUACAAUGGCGCAUACAAAGAGAAGCGACCUCGCGAGAGCAAGCGGACCUCAUAAAGUGCGUCGUAGUCCGGAUUGGAGUCUGCAACUCGACUCCAUGAAGUCGGAAUCGCUAGUAAUCGUGGAUCAGAAUGCCACGGUGAAUACGUUCCCGGGCCUUGUACACACCGCCCGUCACACCAUGGGAGUGGGUUGCAAAAGAAGUAGGUAGCUUAACCUUCGGGAGGGCGCUUACCACUUUGUGAUUCAUGACUGGGGUGAAGUCGUAACAAGGUAACCGUAGGGGAACCUGCGGUUGGAUCACCUCCUUA